ACUGCAAAUAGCAUCAAUCCUGAUCAUGCGUUCGUUCGUAGUCGCCUCGUUGGCAGUUGCCAUUGUAGCCUGUCUGGCUGUGUCAGUAUCUGCAGGAGGCUAUGGUGGACAUGCGAGGACAUACCACCAUUACCAGCCACCGAGGUUUGGCUACAGAUAUAUGCGACAGAGAUACAUGAUCAGCCCAGGUAGUGGCGGCGUUUAUCCUGGCGGUUAUUCUGGAGGUUUUGCUGGCGGUUAUUCUGGUGGCAUUUAUCCUGGCGGAUUUGGAGGACUCGCUCGAACAGCAGUAGGAACAGGAUUUAACCUCAUCUGGCUCAUAAUCAUCAUAAUGAUCGCCUUAUUCCUCAUCAACCUCGACAAGUAAAAAGUAACAUUAUGCUGACUGGCUGACACGAACUCCCAACAAUGCUCCUGUUUUGCACUUCUACUACAUCGUUGCUCCUGUUUUCCAAUUAAACCUUUUGCUGUUAUACCUUA